rnacentral:rRNA from 1 species
UGGGGAAUAUUGGACAAUGGGGGGAACCCUGAUCCAGCCAUGCCGCGUGUGUGAAGAAGGCCUUAUGGUUGUAAAGCACUUUAAGCGAGGAGGAGGGUACUGGUAUUAAUACUACCAGCUACUGGACGUUACUCGCAGAAUAAGCACCGGCUAACUCUGUGCCAGCAGCCGCGGUAAUACAGAGGGUGCGAGCGUUAAUCGGAUCUACUGGGCGUAAAGCGUGCGUAGGCGGCUAAUUGAGUCGGAUGUGAAAUCCCCGGGCUUAACUUGGGAAUUGCAUUCGAUACUGGUUAGCUAGAGUGUGGGAGAGGAUGGUAGAAUUCCAGGUGUAGCGGUGAAAUGCGUAGAGGUCUGGAGGAAUACCGAUGGCGAAGGCAGCCAUCUGGCCUAACACUGACGCUGAGGUACGAAAGCAUGGGGAGCAAACAGG